CUAAGAGAGACACUUUCAUUUUAGGGUUAUGAGUGGAGGUGUGGCCAGGGGUUACACACCCACUCCCAACUCUAAAAUGAAAGGUUUUAGAUACCUUGAUAACACAAUGAAAGGUUUUAGAUACCUUGCUUGUAACAAUUUAGGCAACUAAAAUUGCUGUGGGUUGCUGUAUCUGUCAUGCAGAGAGAGCUUGCCAGCAUUUCGGUUCUGGACUGCUCUUAUGGGUGUGAUUAGUCUGAUAUGCCAUAGAACUGGUACUCUCUGUAAUGCCACAAGUGAGCAAAUACUUUUUUGAGACCUGAGUGGGGACUAACCGAAGAGCAGGCUACUGAGUUCCUCUAAGCUUUUGUUCAUACUCACAGUUCUCAUAUUCUUUGUUCUUGUUCCACUAACUUGGCUCUCCCCAAGUUAAAAGUGUUAUUCAGACAUGGACCCUGUGCUCACUGUGCCUAGAGCGUUAUUAGUCCAGCUCGAUUCUGGACUGUCCUUAUGACAUCAGUUUGAUAUGCCUUGGAACUGGCUCUCUCUGUAAUGGGAGCAAACGUGAGCAAACACUACUUUGAGACCUGAGCAGGGAUUUACUGAAG